rnacentral:misc_RNA from 1 species
UUGACACACGACCAGCCAGUACAGUU